UAGAGUGACUCUGGUGUGACAAAGAGAACUCUAGAGAUUUUUUUCCUCUCCUUGCAUGGGGGAGAUGUCAGGUUUUCGAGUGUGGAGUUCCUCUCUCUAUACUGGGAGAUGCUGUGCAUAGAUUUUCUCAAAUUUCCUUGGGACAAAGCAAAGUGAGAAAAUCUCUUUAAGGUGUACUUUGGUCCUCCAUGCCAUGGAUGUCUGACACAAAAUUUAUACAGAUAUUAAAUGAAUUGGAGGA
rnacentral:lncRNA from 1 species